rnacentral:lncRNA from 1 species
UUUUGCCUAAACUCUUCUCAAAAUCUCUCUUUCUUCUUCUCUCCUUGAAACAUCGUGAUUUGUUGAAUAUCUAAGUUCCCUUGAUAACUUUCAAUUUAAAUUCUCUCUAAUCUACAUCCUUGGAGCUGACUCAUGCUUGGUUUGUUGAUUUUUUUUCUCUUGGAAAAAUUAGGAGUUUAAUUCUGUAUCUGAGCUUGAGUUGACUCGAGAUGAAGUUCGAGUCGACU